AUGUGGGACGAAAUGACUUGAAUGAAAUUGACGUAGUAAGCAAGCAAUGCACACUAAAUUAUUUGUUUAUCACGAGUUUUCAUUUGCCGAUGUCAUUGAAGGAAAACAUUUCAUCACAGCAUGCAUCUGAAGCAAACCAUCUCAGCAUAAUUGGAUGCGACAAAUGUGAAUGGUUUUGGGUACUCGAGGCAUGUGUAAAGCCCACAGAUGAUAUUAACCCUGAAAGGCUGUACGUGUGCCCCUUUUGUCAGGGUUGAACACUCAUAUCUAUCCUACAUGUCCAGUUUAUUAGCUCACCUGGUCCGAUCUGACUUCCUCUUCAUAACCACAGAUCAGAAUUCGACCAAAUUUGGUCAGAAGCAUCCCUUUAAUGGGGGACUCAAAAUUGCACAAAUGGUGGGGCUGAAUGUGGCCAAUUUGGCUAAAUUGAUAUGAACAACUUCUCCUGAAUUUGGUCAGGAACAUCCUUGGCAGAAGGUGAACAGAGUUUGGAUAAAGGACCUGUUGCAGGAUGGCCCACGAAGGAAUUCUUUGUAAAACAUUUUAUUUUGAUAAAAGAUGUCAAAAUACA